rnacentral:tRNA from 1 species
UGGGGCGUCGCCAAGUGGUAAGGCACUGGGUUUUGAUCCCAGCAUUCGGAGGUUCGAAUCCUUCCGUUCCAG